rnacentral:lncRNA from 1 species
ACAAGGGAUCCAUGGAAAGAGCAUUCCCAGAAGGGGGGCCAGGGCAGUGCGCACAGUGAGGAGAGCAGGUGUGUGCGAGUUGAGGAAACUGGGCCCUGAGACAUUAACUUGCCCAAAAGAUCACAGUGGGCAACAUUCUAGAGCACAAUGGAAGCCGACAGCAAUGUCAGUGAAGACUGAAAACAGAACGUGGAGAGAGAUGUAGCUUACUAGAGCCCUGUGGCUUCAAUCCCCACCAGGAAUGUCGUUUAAGAGGAAGGUGAUCUAGCACAAAUUCACAUUUGCUUGAGGAAGAAUACAAACGUAUUUUGCCAAAGACUGAGGAUUCGGAUAUGACUACGGAAAGGAAAACUAAGCUCCAUGAGAAGAGGGGACUUGCCCAUGUGGCUCAGGGCUCUAUGCCCAGUGCCCUAGACAGUGCCUGACUGUGUGUGCGGAAUGAAUGAAUAACCUUGGUGAUCCACCCAAUGGCACUGGCGCUCAGUGACCUCAUCUGAAAUGAAAACCUUAACGCAUCAUCAGUUACUGAUUAAACACCUAUCAUAGAUGAAGUAUUAUGGUCUUAAAUCAUUCAGACAAUUCAGACCAAUACAUCUAAAUACAGUGCCUUUCUCAUGAGCUGUAAAUGAAAU